UCUGGAGUGGCCUCACAGACCAAAUCUGACAGGGAUUCCUGGAGGACAGUCAUUGGCCUCAGGAUGGUGCCUCCCUCUGGGUCAGCAGAUAGGGUCCACUUCAGAUGACCUCACCCUGGGGGGCCAUCCCAUUGUCUCCAUACUGGGUAGAUGAGCCAGGAUCAGCCCUCAACCCCCUUGACAGCUCCAUCCACGGCUAGCAGACCAACUACUGGUUCCCCCAUAAUGACAGAGUUGAAUAAAAAACAGGACAGAAACAGCCCAUAUAGCUCAUAGGAACCGCCUGGUUCUAGAAAACAUGAAAAACAACAGUAACAAAUAAACUGCCAGGAAAUCCCUUGGUGGCCCAACUACCAACCCACAUGAAUGGCGCUGGCAGAAGACACUCAGACAGAUAGACAUGACCAGACACCUGGAAUGAAGAGGUGGGGACUGUCCUCCUGGAACCCCUGGGAAUAGAAAUUCAUGAGAAGAAUUUCCGGUUUUCCCCAGAGUAUCCUAAAGGCCAGUCAUUGGCCUCAGGACAUACCAGAGCCCCUACAACUGGGUGGAAUUCCAGAGUACCAGCCAUGUCUGAACCAACCUCUGUAGGAACUUCCAACUGAAAGCUGCAUCAGCAAAAGCCCAAAAGUCAACCUUAUAAUGUUUAGAGAAGGUGUGCAUGGAUGCUCAAGUAGCAGCCCUACAGAUGUCCAGGAUAGGGAAGUUUCCCUCCACACCACUGAAAUUGAAGCUUCUUUCAACAAGUAAGCAGUUAAAUGUCCAGAUAGGAGUUUCCCCAGAGCCUGGUAGGAUCAGAAAUUGAGGAGGAUAAAGCUUUCCGCCCCAGGACUGUCCCCCCAAAGGAUACACACAAAGCCUCAGCUUCCUAAAAAGAGAUGUCUUACCCAAAUAGAACCAAAGAGCUCUACACACAUCUAAAGUAUGCCAGGCCUUCUGCCUAGAAGAAGGAUUCAGACAAAAAGACAGUAGAACCACCUCCUGUGACCUAUGAAACGGAGAACUUUGGGAAUGAAAGAAGGAUCUGUUCUAAGAACCACUUUAUCCUUAUGAAAGACACAUAAGUGAGCAUGCAAGGAGAGAGCCCCGAGCUCAGACACCUGACGAGCUAACGUGAUUGCCACCAGAAAAAACCCUCUUCAGUGUGAGAAACCUCAGUUCAAACGUAGCCAAGGGCUCAAAGGAGGGGGGGGCAUGAGCACUGUCAAGAUCCAAUUGAGGUCCCAAGUGGAAAAGCAAUGAACCACCAGGGGAUUCUUCAGGCUUACACUCCUGAUGAACCUUCUAAAAAACCACACUCCCUAAAACACGUGAGUUUCCAAGUGUGCUCCCCAGGUGAACAUGCUGGUAUCCUUCAUGUAAACUCUGCAUACUGGAACGCGCCAGCUAACCCCUUGUACCAGCUGCUGGGAGGCUAGCCAUUACUUCAAUUGCCGAUGGAAGUCCAGUGAAAUUGGAAUCAUCAUGUGCCUUGCCUUGGAAAUCUGAGUUCACCAGGUCCUGACAGGAGAUCAUCAUGCUCUGCAGUUUGGACAAGGUCAUCAGGCCCAUCAAUUCUGAGGUGAUCACUUGCUUGAAUCUUGGAAAUGUGUCCGUCAGUAAGCCUUCGUUGAAAUGUCCUUGAAUCUACCUGUACCCCAAAAUGAGUAAUCACCUGUGUUGGAUCCAAAGCACUCUUGUUCAUGUUCACUACAAACCCCAUAUCUCUGAAGACAUGCUAGUGUGGUGUCCACAUCCUCCUUGCACUGAUUCUUUGAUGGUGGCCUGAUGAGCAGAUUGUCAAGAUAAAGAUGUACCUUCGUCCUCAGGUGUUCCACCAGAACAACUAAGACCUUGGUGAAAACCCUGGGGGAGGUGGUGAGCCUGAAAGGGAGAGCGCUAUACUGGUAGUGGCCUUGACCAUAGCUAAAUGGCGAGUACUGUCUGUGUUUCUUUUGGAUGGGGAUGUGAAUUUAGGCUUCUGAAAGAUGUAUGGAUGCCAUCCAAUCAUUCUGAUUGAUGACCUCUGAAAUGGACCUCAGUGUUUCCAUCCAGAAACAUUUGUAGGCCAACUUCCUGUUUAGCCAUUUGAGAUUGAGGAUGGCCCUGUUAACCCCAUUUUUCUUCGGGACCAGGAAGAAAAUGGCCGAAAGUAUCCAGUAUGUCCUUCAACACUUCUAGGUUAGACACCCAAGCACUAUCUGGCUUUCUAAGAGGCCAAUGAAAAAUGGUUAUACUACAUACCACCUUAGUAGGAAACAAGUUCUCCUGUCAAGUCAAACCAACACCAGAUGUUUGCUGUCCUGAAUAUUGUUUCUUAAUUUCAUCUCCCAGCAAAUUUCUUUCGUGCAGUGCUGGUUCUGGAUUGGAUUGUUGGCUGGAUUCUCACUGGAGGGCGUCAUACCGUUCAUCCAGGAGAAUUAGAUCUGGGUUUGAUAGAGUCAAGUUACAGUCCUCAGUGAUAUUUCCAAAAACAUCUUCUCUAGGUUAGUUGGCUAUUAUAGUCUCUGCGUUGGGCCCCUAUCCAGCAUUAUCUCUUCCAAAUGCCAAGAAGCCUGAACUUUAAAAAGGGGGGAAUCAGUAGAAGCUCUUCUGGCACCCCAAAACUCAGAAUCAGCAGCUUGAAGAUCAGCUGGGCUGCCUGAAAAUGCAUUGGGUGGAGCCGCUCUUAUUAUUCCCAAUUCUAUCAGGGCAGCUAUUGAUUGAAGUAUAGCUUUCAGACCAGAAAUUUCUUGUUUAAUGGAAGAUAAAUUGCUGAAAAUAUUUUGAUUAGUUUGAGCAGAAAGGAAACACUGGUCUCUUAAAUAUUUGAAUAUAUUCUGUACCUGUUCACAACUUAGCUUGCCUGCGUCCUUUGUGGGUCUUUCCUGAGGACUUGUGAUAUACCUGGAUGGAGUAAACUUUACAUUUUCUUGCAGCAAGCCCGUUUAAGUCCUUUUCCAGAAAAUCUGGGUCCAGUGACCAAUUGUCAA